rnacentral:ncRNA from 1 species
CAUUGAUCAGGGCAAACCCGUCGAAAGGCGGGGACGCAAAGCUUCCAGUCUAAUGAACCAGGAUCUUGGUUCGAUGAUAGUGGGGUCGCCAAU